rnacentral:rRNA from 1 species
AUGGGGUGCAGCAGGCGCGAAACCUCCGCAAUGCGGGCAACCGCGACGGGGGGACCCCCAGUGCCGUGGCAUAGCCACGGCUUUUCCGGAGUGUAAAAAGCUCCGGGAAUAAGGGCUGGGCAAGGCCGGUGGCAGCCGCCGCGGUAAUACCGGCGGCCCAAGUGGUGGCCGCUAUUAUUGGGCCUAAAGCGUCCGUAGCCGGGCCCGUAAGUCCCUGGCGAAAUCCCACGGCUCAACCGUGGGGCUUGCUGGGGAUACUGCGGGCCUUGGGACCGGGAGAGGCCGGGGGUACCCCUGGGGUAGGGGUGAAAUCCUAUAAUCCCAGGGGGACCGCCAGUGGCGAAGGCGCCCGGCUGGAACGGGUCCGACGGUGAGGGACGAAGGCCAGGGGAGCGAACCGGAUUAGAUACCCGGGUAGUCCUGGCUGUAAAGGAUGCGGGCUAGGUGUCGGGCGAGCUUCGAGCUCGCCCGGUGCCGGAGGGAAGCCGUUAAGCCCGCCGCCUGGGGAGUACGGCCGCAAGGCUGAAACUUAAAGGAAUUGGCGGGGGAGCAC